GUGGGAUUGGCGCAAAUGGUAAACGCUACAGCCCCAAAAGCUGUAUCUUCAGGGUUCAAAUCCCUGAUCCCGCACCA
rnacentral:tRNA from 1 species